rnacentral:tRNA from 1 species
UAGAUUGAAGCCAGUUGUUUAGGGUAUUUAGCUGUUAACUAAAUUUUCGUGGGGUUGGAACCCACCGGUCUAG